GUACGAGCAGUGUUUCGGCUGGGAGCGGGUUAUCAAGACGAGCGGACAGCGAACGUGAAGGAGUACAAACUGGGAGUAAAGAGAGAACGAGUUCUAUCCAACGCGCCUCGUCUCGUUGAUUACAUGAUAAGAGAGACAACACACCGCCUUCAAAUUCAACAGCAGACGUGUUGCCUUGAUCCAUCUCAGGGCGGCCAUUUUGCCUCUUGCUGUCGACUGAAUAUGACAUCACACUCAGCUUGCGGACGUCACAUGACCAAACCCAAAACACAGCAGCACACCGCCUCUCUCAUCACUCCUCCUUCCUUCACUCUCGCCUUCCUCCUCUGCUGGAACGCACCGAAGCUCAUCAUCCGUUGUGGAUCCUACGCCGGCCGCCUGCAGCCCAAUCGCACGACGACCCCCCCCCCAAGCCCCCGCUUCCCCCCCUCCUCCCCACGGACGAGGUAAAACCAUGCUCAUCUUCACAUUUCGGCACUUUUGGGCGGGUCGGAGCAUUCGGUGCAUCCACACGGCGGAUCGGUCCGCUUCUUUCGAGUUGGUGGGGGUGCUUCGUUGGGUACUUGGGGGGGCUCUCCUGGCGGGGGUGGUGGGCGAAUGGGGGUGAUGUCUGCAUGGGUAUGCGUGUGCGAUGAAGACGCGCGGCGAGAAAUGGGUAAAAAGAAAGAUACACGUGCACGCGUUUCCCAUAUUGCGGCAUCGGUCAAGUGGAGGCGUGCGAGCGUGUGCGCCUUUUGAUUGACAGAUGAGGGAGGGGUGACGGGGCGGGGGCGCGUCCCCUUCAACUGACUUGAUUGAUUGGUUUCCGCGCACCCUCCUCUUCCUCACUGCGGGUCACAUGACCGGCAAGGCGCCGUCAGCUGCUUGUCGGAUGACUGAUGAACGGAGUUUUGGGGGGUUUGGCCGCUGAAGUUGUUUCACGGU